rnacentral:tRNA from 1 species
UGUAGACUCAGUGGUAGAGUGCUUGCCUUGCAUGCAUGAGGCCCUGGGUUCAAUUCCUCAGCA